UUUGAAACACCGGUUCUUGUACGAUCACCGAAUUCAUUUAAGCAACGUCGAGCCUGGUCAGUACCUAGAUGGGUGACCGCUUGGGAAUAUACAGGUGCUGU